GUAUAAGAAAAACAGACCAAAACACAAAAACUUAACUAUAACCACUGAACCAUGAAAAUGAGGUCAAGGUCAGAUGACACCUGCCAGUUGGACAUGUACACCUUACAGUCCUUCCAUACACCGAAUAUACUAGACCUAUUGCUUAUAGUAUCUGAGAUAUGGACUUGACCACCAAAACUUAACCUU